UACGUAGGGUGCGAGCGUUGCCCGGAUUUAUUGGGCGUAAAGGGCGCGUAGGCGGUCACGCACGUCCGUUGUGAAAUCGCUCGGCUCAACUGGGCGGGGUCAGCGGAUACGGCGUGGCUGGAGCAAGCUAGGGGGCAAUGGAAUUCCCGGUGUAGUGGUGGAAUGCGUAGAUAUCGGAAAGAACACCAACGGCGAAAGCACUCUGCUGGGCCGACACUGACACUGAGAGACGAAAGCUAGGGGAGCGAAUGGG
rnacentral:rRNA from 1 species